UGCUUGGGAUUCUCUCUCUCCCUCUCUUUCUGUCCCUCCCCUGCUUUGCAUGCUUGAACACAUGCUUGCUCACUCACUCGCUGUCUCUCAAAAUAAACUUUUAAAAAAGAAUUCAUACAGAAUUAGGAAUAACGCAGAAAAUCAGGUAAUACAAAUUAGAAGUAAAAAUGUUCAUUAGAUUAAUUUGAUGAUUCUAGACGCACAAAUCUGUAAAUUAUUUUCUGUGGUUUUGUCCUUUUAAGGUCUCAGACAAUGAAACUUCCAUCACUUCAUUCUCAUUCAGUAAUGUGUGUACGGCUAUUCAUUCAUCCAACAAGUCACUUUGUUCAAGGCACUUGCCUCUGAUAUCAUUCUCUUCACUGUCCUCAAGAUGCCUCCUUUUUUUUUUUUUUUUUUUUUUGAGAUAGAGAAACAGAGUGUGAGCAGGCGCCCCAAGAUGCCAUUUUAUUAAGAUACCAGUUGAGCAUGUAAAAGAAGCUAACGGUUUCUCACUGGUUUAGAUGACCAUGAAAUGAAGGAGAACAAAAGGUUAUAAUGCAAUAUAAUAAAUUCAUAUUUGUGAACAUUAGGCUAAAGAAGUGUUUAGGUAGGUUGUUACUUUGCCAGAGGAAUGACAAUGUAAACAGAAGCUUAAACUGUACUUAGAGAAGUUAAGUGUGAUGAUACUCAAAUACUUAAAAUUGGCUCUGGGAUUAGUUGUGUGACCUUAAGCAAGUUGCUAUCUCUCUCCAAACCUCAGUUGAAAAUUUAAAAGAUUGAAUUUGUCUCUGUCUUGUCCCAAAUUUUUAAAACCCUAAACAAAGUCAGCCUCCAAUAUAUCCAUUUUGCAAAACUUCUUUUUUUAAAAUGCUUAUUUAUUUAUUUUUGAGAGAGAGAGUGCAUGUGAGCGGAGGAGGGGCAGAGAGAGAAAGACAGAGGGUCUGAAGCUGGCUCUGCACUGACAGCAGACAGCCCAAUGGGGCACUUGAACUCACGAACCACAAGAUCGUGACCUGAGCCAAAGUCAGAGGCUUACCUGACUGAGCCACCCAGGCACCCUGCAAAUAAUUCUUUAUACUGACAUAUUACAAAAGCAAAGGAAAAAGUUAAAUAAUCUUGUAGAUUUAUGGGAGACUUUAAUAUCACCUUAGAAUUUUGGAAAUUACAUGUUUAACUUUGCCAUUAUAGAAAAGAUUUAUUUUUCCUACCCUUUGUCAGACCAACACCUUGUCUGUAAGAGACACAGUCAAAAAAAGAGAGAGAGAGAGAAAAACUGGAACCUAGAGAAGGAGAAACACUUGUAAAUUUAAAAUAAUAAAAUUUCGGAAAAAAAAUCAAAUUUGGGGGAUCCCUAGGCAGCUCAGUCGGUUAAGCAUCCAGCUUGACUUCAGCUCAAGUCCUGAUCUCACAGUCAUGAGGUAGAGCCCCAUGUUAGGUUCUGCACCGACAGCACAGAGCUUUCUUGGAAUUGUCUCUCUCUGCCCCUAUCUGCCCCCCCCCCACAUAAAAAAAAUAAUUUUUUUAAGUUUAUCACAUAAAGCAUUUAAUUGAAUUAAUGGAACAGUGUUGAGUACUAGAUGAUUUAGUUAACUGAAGUUUAUAGUAAUCCUAAACUUUUGAGUAUUUCCUAAAACCUAAAAAUUACAGUAUGUCAGUAUAUUGUCUUGUCUCAAAGCAUGCUGAAUAUCACCAAACUUUAUGAGUAAGGAAUCUUACUAUCAAGUAGUAUAAAGUAAUAUGUAAUUAUAGGCAUAGAAAUUUUAAGAAUUGUGUUCAAUGUGUUUCAUAUAACCCAAAGAGUAUUUGAUUAUAAUUUUUUUCUUGAGGUAGAGCACAAGAGACUCAUUCAGAUUAAGGAUUUAAUUUGAAGAAUUCCAAUUUCCUUUAAGCAAACUUUCACUUUAUUUCAAGCUGAACAUUAGUGUAUUCAUGAUUUGAUAAUACACUUAAAGAUGUACACUCUAAAGAAUUUGAGUUACAAAACGCUCAGUUAUAAUCUGUUGGUUGUAAACAAGGCCAGUUACUUGUAGAAAUUGGAUCAGAAGGAAUUGGAUUAUCACAAAUGGCCACUGGUUUUCAUCAUGGUUAUGUUAUGUACAUGUGAUAGAGUAGGACAGUUUAUUCAUAAUGCACAUUUAUUUUGAACGGUGUGAAAAUCUGAGUUGGUUGUAAUUUGAGGCCUCAAAUUCUAUAACAAGAGUGAAUAUCAUUUUAUGUCAUCAAAGAUGGUUAUUAAAAAACUACUUUAAAAUUCUUUCACAAUUUGGGUUGCCUGGCUGGCUCAGUCAAUACAGCAUGCAAAUGUUGGUCUCAGAGUCAUGAGUUCAAACCCCAUGUGUGGCAUACAGUUUACUUAAAAAAAAUUUUUUUAAGUUUUCUUUGCAUUUUUCAAGUGAGCUUUAAGGGCCUAUUCUAUGUCUAGUACUUACUAUAGUCCAAAAAGAUGGUCACUGUCAGCAAAGAACUUUUAGCCGUAAUAGAAAUAUACUAACAUACAAGAAACAACUAGAAAAUAGUGGAGAGUAAAUUUUGCCUUGUGGACUUGAAGUUUAGUAGAAGAUCAAAGAAAAUGUAGACUUAGACUCACCAAAAAAGACUUCUUAGGGGAGCUGGAAGGUGAGCUGGGCUUAAAGAAGAAUAGGUAGAAUUAAUUCUUGGAAAUGAAGAUAUUGGAGGCUUUCAAGUACAGGAAACAUGAAUCAAAGUAUCAAGUUGGAAGGAGUAAAACAGAUACACUAGAUUGAAAAUAGAGGAAUAGGGAAAUGAAUGUAACCAUAUUUGAGAUUGCUUUGCUUUGCUUAAGGGGCCCUAAUUUCUAAUAGAAGAAAACGAGGAUUUGGAUUGCCUGCAACCCUUUUGAGAGCCAAAAAACAGUUGAAGAAAAAAAAAAAAAAGGGAAGGAAAUCUAGGAUUCUAUCAGACAAGUUUAUUACCCUAAAUAUUAGGGAAUCUAUGGAUUUUAGCUCAGCAAAUCAAGUGAGAAAUCUUUUUUUAAUAAUUUGUGUUUUUAUGUUUUUAUCGGAAUUGAAUUUUGUAUAUGAAGUUCUCAACACUGAACCUAAUAUUGUUUACUUAAUAGCAUAUAGCAGUUGCUGUACUUGCUCAGACUUGACACUUUUUUAAAAAAUGUAUUUUGAGAGAGGGUGUGAGCAGGGGAGAGGCAGAGAGAGGAAGACAGAAAAUCCCAAGCAGGCUCCACACUGUCAGUGCCAAGCCCAACCAGGCACUCAUACUCACAACCUGUGAGAUCAUGACCUGAGCUGAAACCAAGAGUUGGGUGCUUAAUUGAUUGAGCCACACAGGCACCCCUCAAGUGAGAAAUCUUGAGAGGAAAGGGUUGCAUAGCCAAAAUUCUAUCAGGCAUAUUUUUUGUUCUCCAUAACAUUGAUCUUAACACUAUGGGAAUGAUGGUGAAUUAAUACCAAAGUAAUGUUGUUAUGCCAAAUAGAAAUACUCCUUUUCCAAACCCCUCUCUAAUUUGCAUCUAAGUCUUAGCUCAAGUUAUUUACUCUUAGAAUGUCCUUUCCCUCAUCUUCACCUGUCUAAAUCCUCCUAGGCUAUCUACCUCUUGCAUUAAAUUUUCCCAGUUCAUUUUUCCUUCUCACCCAGAAAUUCUCUCUUUUGAGCUCAUAUACAUGGCUUAGAACAAUUAAUAUACCCUGCCUUAUGGACAGGGAUUAUCUUACUCUUUAUUAUAUACUCUGCAAGCUUAACAGAGUGGGUGCUUAGCAAUUAAAUGGUAAUUAAUUGCUGAAAAUAAUACCUUUAUGAUAAAUGUUUUCUGUAAAGGCUGAAUACCAGCUAGAUAAAUACAGAAAUGCCCGGGCUCUUUUCUGGUAAUUUAAGAAUUUUUCCACCUUUUACUACUUUUAUAGGGCUUCUUUGAUUCUCUACUACCUAUUAACAUUCAUGUCUCAAGUCUUAUUUAUCUUAAAAUGUCCUUUAAAGAAAAAUUUCAGGGGUGCCUGGGUGGCUCAGUUGGUUGGGCGUCCGACUUCAGCCUAGGUCGUGAUCUCACGGUUCUUGAGUUCGAGCCCCGCGUCUGGCUCUUUGCUGAUGGCUUGGAACCUGGAACCUGCUUCGGAUUCUGUGUCUCCCUCUCUCUCUCUGCCUCUCCCCUACUCAUGCUCAGUCUCUCUCUCUCUCUCAAAAAUAAAAUAAACAUUUAAAAAAAAUUUUUUUUAAGUCAAAACCUGUGGGUAGGUUUGUGAACAGUUAGAAGGCCUGUGAAAUUUCAAUAUCCCUUUGGGAGGGCCAUGAGUAAUCCAACUGAUAAUCCUAAGCUUUUCAAUGAAGUAUAAUUUAACUAUUUUUUGUCAGCCUUCCAUCUGAGGAGAUGGAAGAUGAUAGAAUGAAAAGUACUUACGUUAAAAAAUACUUUUUAAGAAACACCAUUACCGUAAUCAUAAAAAACAAAUGUACUGAGCAUUGUUGAAGUUCUUUAUACAUCUCUAAAGUUAAUGGUAUGCUACUGGGGCACCUGGGUGGCUCAGUCGGUUAAGUAUCUGACUCUUCGUUUCUGCUCAGGUCAUAAUCUCGCAUUUCGUGGGUUUGAGACCCACAUCAGGCUCCACGCUGACACUUCGGAGCCUACUUGGGAUUUUCUCUCUCUCCUUCCCUCUCUCUCUCUCUCUCUCUCUCUGCCCCUUCCCUGCUCUGUCUCAAAAUGAAUAAAUAAGAUUUUUAAUAAAGUUAAUGGUAUGCUUCUGAAUCCCUCUGCUUACUGGAGCUACCUUGUUGAAUGAAAUUGGUUUUCUAACAAAUUUUCUUGGACUAUUGUAUAAGAGACUAUGCAAGUCACACCAAAGAAAGUUUUUUUUUAAAGUAAGCUCUACACCCAUUGUGCAGCUUGAACUGAGACCCCAAGAUCAAGAGUCACAUGCUCUACCAAAUGAGCCAGCCAGGCACCCCAGAGAAAGCUUUUAGAAAUCUAAGAAGACAAAAUUGUGACACAAGUAUGUAGCAUUUGUUUUCUGCUAGGACAUUUAAGUCAUAAGGAUUUAUUUUAUGUACCCUUAGAGCUUUUAUAUAAAAUCUAUAUGACAUUUAUGUUUGUUUUUCAGAACCUGUAUAUAAAUUACAUUUUUUAAAACAUCUGUUGUUACUAUUGGGUUUGGUUGGCUUUGAGGGUGGUUGACUUGUUAUAUUUUACAUUUAACCAAAAGUCAGGAUUUCAACCAGCAAUUAAAUAAUGGUUUAUAUGGCAAAGCAGUUUCCCCUUUGUAAUGAUUUUCUUUAUGACCUGUUUUCUAGGCAUGUAUUUUGAUAGCACUACUACGUCCCUCCAAAAGGUGAGAACUGACUCUUCCAUCUGUACCUGGAUCAUGUGGAGAAAGGACUGAGAAUAGAAGCAGAAAACAGACAUUGUCCAUGUAGAGCAGACUGCCUGACAACAGCUCACUCUAAUAAAGGGCAAUAAAUGCCACACGAGAUGAUCCUCUCAUCACAAAACUUUACAUCUGACUUAUAUGCCUGGUCUGAUAACUUCUAUCUUUUUAUGACUCCUAAAUUGUGGAGUUUAUUUAUUUAUUUUGAGACAGAGAGAGAGCGCAAGC